AGAGCAGUCUGGACGGCGCGUGGCCGGCGCUGCUGCGGGGACAGCUUGACCGGCGGUUGGAUGGCGCGGGUUGGAGCGUGGCGAACAGGGGCUCUGGGCCUGGCGCUGCUGCUGCUGCUCGGCCUCGGACUAGGCCUAGAGGCCGCCGCGACCCCGCUUUCCACCCCGACCUCUGCCCAGGCCGCAGGCCCCAGCUCAGGCUCGUGCCCACCCACCAAGUUCCAGUGCCGCACCAGUGGCUUAUGCGUGCCCUUCACCUGGCGCUGCGACAGGGACUUGGACUGCAGCGAUGGCAGCGAUGAGGAGGAGUGCAGUGAGUGGCCACGCCCCGGGGCGGGGCUUACAUUGGGCAGGGCCUGAGGGUGGGAUGUCAGGGGCCAGGCACGCGGUGGUGGAGCUUGUGGGAAAGGCAGGGCCACAGGGAUGGGUGCGGCUUGGGUCUGUGGGUCAUAAGAAGCGGGGUCUAAGAUGGGCUUGGGCUGGGCGCAGUGGCUCAUGCCUGUAAUCCCAGCACUUUGGGAGGCUAGGGUGGGAGGAUCGAUCACUUGAUCCUGGGAGGUUGAUGCUGCAGUGAGCU
rnacentral:sRNA from 1 species